rnacentral:lncRNA from 1 species
UAAGAUAUAUACCACGAUGUGAUGUAAUACAAUAUUUAAGACAAGCCAAGAAUUAGCCUCAUGUAUCAGUAGACUCCUCAUCCACUAUAGCAAAGGCAAGUGGAAAAAUUUGAUUGUUCCCAUCAACAACUAUUUCAAUCAUCAGCUUCUCUCGAUAUUUUUCGUACAUAAAUGUAGCAUCGAUACUGAUAACCGAUCUAUAGUGUUUGAAGCCUUCAAUUGAUGGUGCAAAUAUCCAAAAAUCAUGAUC